rnacentral:rRNA from 1 species
CCUACGGGUGGCAGCAGUGAGGAAUAUUGCGCAAUGGACGGAAGUCUGACGCAGCAAUGCCGCGUGCGGGAAGAAGGUGCUAUGCAUCGUAAACCGCUGUAGCGUGGGGCAAAAAGCACCCUUGGGGUGUGAGAUGGUACCACGAAAGUAAGCAUCGGCUAACUACGUGCCAGCAGCCGCGGUAAUACGUAGGAUGCAAGCGUUGUCCGGAUUUACUGGGUGUAAAGGGUGCGCAGGCGGGACUGUAAGUCAGAGGUGAAAGCCCGGAGCUUAAC